UACGUAGGGGGCAAGCGUUGUCCGGAAUCAUUGGGCGUAAAGCGCGUGUAGGCGGUUCGGUAAGUCUGCUGUGAAAGUCCAGGGCUCAACCCUGGGAUGCCGGUGGAUACUGUCGAACUAGAGUACGGAAGAGGCGAGUGGAAUUCCCGGUGUAGCGGUGAAAUGCGCAGAUAUCGGGAGGAACACCAAUUGCGAAGGCAGCUCGCUGGGACGUCACUGACGCUGAGACGCGAAAGCGUGGGGAGCGAACAGG
rnacentral:rRNA from 1 species